AGAUAUCCAUCGGAGGUGGAGAGUUUGGUCCCUACUGCUUUGGGUAUUCAGAGAGUGCUUUCUUUUCUGCAAGUAGCGGAGAACAGCAAGGAGUGGAGGAUCCCAGACACAGAAUACACUUGUGAUGCAAGAUGAAUUCCUGAGGCAGGAGAUUUACAAGGACCAGUAAUGAGUAUUACUCACUAAGAUCAUUAAGUAAGUAUUGUAUAUUUUUGGUGUAGUAGUGCCUGAAAGCCUCAAUCACACUCCUAUUUAUGAGCACACCUCAUACCUGUAGUGUGAGUACUUCUGAGGAGCAUCCUGUGCUCUGAAAAAACAAGGUAACCAGCAAACAAAACUUCCACUACUAUUGUCCACCUGGGAGGGAGCCUCAAAGACAUCCAGUGAGGACAGCUCUGUCUGCAGUGAUGGGGAUACGCAGGGCUG